rnacentral:rRNA from 1 species
GACGAACGCUGGCGGCGUGCUUAACACAUGCAAGUCGAACGGUGAAGCGCCUUCCUUUUUGGCGGGUGUGGAUGAGUGGCGAACGGGUGACCAACACGUGAGUAACCUGCCCCCUUCUUCUGGAUAACCGCAUGAAAGGGUGGCUAAUACGGGAUAUUCUGGGUCUGUCGCAUGCUGGGUCGGGGUAAGAAAUUGUUUCGGUGGGGGAUGGGCUCGCGGCCUAUCAGCUUGUUGGUGGGGUGAUGGCCUACCAAGGCGGUGACGGGUAGCCGGCCCGGGCGGGUGGACGGUCACACUGGGGCUGAGGCACGGCCCAGACUGGUACGAGAGGCAGCAGUGGGGAAUAUUGCACGAUGGGCGCGAGCAUGAUGCAGCGACGCCGCGUGAGUGAUGGAGGCCUGCGGGUUGUGAGACUCUUGCGCUAGUGAAGCAGGCCUGCCUCGUUUGUGGGUGGAUUGACGGUAGCUGGAGAAGAAGCGCCGGCUAACUACGUG